AACAGGUUUGUCAUUCUCAUAGAACUCUGAUGUAGUAGAACAAAAUCAUCUAUAAAUAACCUAUAAACAAAUAGACCCAAAUGUGUCCUAAACUUUAUUUAAAAGAGCAGACAGUGUCUGGGUUUGGCCCACAGGCUGUAGUUUGCUGGGUCUUGCCCAAAACUGCAUUAUUUUUCAUGGCACGCAUUCUGUUUGUGCUCCCCUCACCUCCAGCGCCUUUAACUUACUAAUGUAUUUGUUCUGAACAGGUGGAUUUCAACUUUCAAUGGCCCUUUCCAAGUUGUACUUAGCCAUGUGAUCCCAGUGGGCUCUUCUUCCCAUCAGGAACUCAUGAGAGGCUUUCUGUCAUAUUGGCUCAACCCCAGGACUCUAGCCAUUAGGACACUUCAUCUCUCAAGCUAUGAACCUACAUCAUCAGCAUCUUCAGGAGUUAGCCAGGGAAACAGAGUGCUGAAUCCUACUCCAUGCCAACAGAGUCAGCCCGCGCUUACAUAGCUGGAUGGAAAGCCAUAUACACAGCGUUUUCCUCCAAGAAGUGAGAAAUUGACAAAAACCCCUCUCGGUCUCAAGAACAAGCCAGAAAAGCCAUAUACACAGCAUUUUCCUCCAAGAAGUGAGAAAUUGACAAAAACCCCUCUCGGUCUCAAGAACAAGCCAGAAACUUGGAGACGGAUGGUCCAGAGUCAGGGGAGCUUAUUAUUCAUGAGGACUGUCUGACCACAUCAUGAAUGGGUAAUGAGGAUGCCACUGUCACCAAGGGAUCAAGCCCAAAGCCCUGGAAUAGCUAUGAAAUACAGUAUUGUGUUUACACACUGUAACCUCAUCCCACAAGAGCGAACAGCAAAGCCAGGCUUCUGUGUCCCACAGCUGAGCUUUCCUCUCUCUGGGUGGGCAGUACCCUGGCCUGGCCUGGCUAUCCAAGAAACAUCAAAUGAACAAGAGCAAGGGAAGACCAAUCAAAACUCUGUUACACCAACCUCAAGAAAACCAGGCAAGAACAUGCAAUAAAAACAAUUUGCAUUCUUUGA